rnacentral:rRNA from 1 species
GAUUGUCAUUGGUGUCCAGUCUUGUGACGGCGUACCUUUUGUAUAAUGGGUCAUCGACUUGGUCUAUCCAGCAAGCUUAAGCCGUUAGGUGUAGGCGCAGCGAAAGCGAGUCUUAAUAGGGCGAAUGAGUUGGAUGGAUCAGACCCGAAACCGAGUGAUCUAGGCAUGACCAGGAUGAAGGUUGGGUAACACCAACUGGAGGUCCGAACCCACACCUGUUGAAAAAGGUCGGGAUGAGUUGUGCCUAGGGGUGAAAGGCCAAUCAAACUCGGAGAUAGCUGGUUCUCUGCGAAAUCUAUUUAGGUAGAGCGUCAUCCGAAUACCCCCGGGGGUAGAGCACUGGAUGGGUAAUGGGGCCCCACAGGCUUACUGAUCCUAACCAAACUCCGAAUACCGGGGAGUACUAGAUGGCAGACAGACGGCGGAUGCUAACGUCCGUCGUCGAGAGGGAAACAACCCUGACCUACAGCUAAGGCCCCCAAUUCAUGGCUAAGUGGGAAAGCAGGUGGGACGACCAAAACAACCAGGAGGUUGGCUUAGAAGCAGCCAUCCUUUAAAGAUAGCGUAACAGCUCACUGGUCUAAACAAGUUGUCCUGCGGCGAAGAUGUAACGGGGCUCAAGCCAUGAGCCGAAGCUUAGGAUGCCGUAAGGCAUGGUAGCAGAGCGUAGUGUGAUACAGUCUCAUUCCUCUUUUGCGGGCUCGCCCGCAUGGGAGGGACGAGAUUUUCGAUGAAGCCGGGGCGUGAGCCAUCCGGUGGAGAGAUCACUAGUGAGAAUGAUGACAUGAGUAGCGACAAGGAGGGUGAGAGACCCUCCCGCCGAAAGUCCAAGGGUUCCUGCUUAAAGCUAAUCUGAGCAGGGUAAGCCGACCCCUAAGGCGAGGCCGAAAGGCGUAGUCGAUGGGAACCAGGUUAAUAUUCCUGGGCCAGAUGGAAGUGACGGAUCGCGGAGGUUGUUCGCCCUUAUCGGAUUGGGCGGGCCGCUGAGCGGUUCCUGGAAAUAGCUCCAUCAUGAGAUCGUACCCUAAACCGACACAGGUGGACUGGUAGAGCAUACCAAGGCGCUUGAGAGAACGAUGUUGAAGGAACUCGGCAAAAUACCUCCGUAAGUUCGCGAGAAGGAGGCCCGGGUUCAAGGCAACUUGGAUCCGGGGGCACAAACCAGGGGGUGGCGACUGUUUACUAAAAACACAGGGCUCUGCGAAGUCGCAAGACGACGUAUAGGGUCUGACGCCUGCCCGGUGCCUGAAGGUUAAAAGGAGAGGUGAGAGCCUUGAAUUGAAGCCCAGGUAAACGGCGGCCGUAACUAUAACGGUCCUAAGGUAGCGAAAUUCCUUGUCGGGUAAGUUCCGACCUGCACGAAUGGCGUAACGACUUCCCCGCUGUCUCCAACAUCGACUCAGCGAAAUUGAAUUGCCUGUCAAGAUGCAGGCUUCCCGCGGUCAGACGGAAAGACCCCGUGCACCUUUACUACAGCUUCGCACUGGCAUCAGGAUUGUGAUGUGCAGGAUAGGUGGUAGGCUUUGAACCCGUGACGCCAGUCGCGGUGGAGCCUCCCUUGAGAUACCACCCUUCGCACUCUUGAUGUCUAACCGCGGCCCGUUAUCCGGGUCCGGGACCCUGCGUGGCGGGUAGUUUGACUGGGGCGGUCGCCUCCUAAAGCGUAACGGAGGCGCGCGAAGGUUGGCUCAGAGCGGUCGGAAAUCGCUCGUUGAGUGCAAUGGCAUAAGCCAGCCUGACUGCGAGACUGACAAGUCGAGCAGAGACGAAAGUCGGCCAUAGUGAUCCGGUGGUCCCGAGUGGAAGGGCCAUCGCUCAACGGAUAAAAGGUACGCCGGGGAUAACAGGCUGAUACUGCCCAAGAGUCCAUAUCGACGGCAGUGUUUGGCACCUCGAUGUCGGCUCAUCUCAUCCUGGGGCUGGAGCAGGUCCCAAGGGUAUGGCUGUUCGCCAUUUAAAGAGGUACGUGAGCUGGGUUUAGAACGUCGUGAGACAGUUCGGUCCCUAUCUGCCGUGGGUGUAGGAUACUUGAGAGGAGUUGCCCCUAGUACGAGAGGACCGGGGUGAACGGACCACUGGUGGACCUGUUGUGGCGCCAGCCGCAGUGCAGGGUAGCUAUGUCCGGACAGGAUAACCGCUGAAGGCAUCUAAGCGGGAAGCCCCCCUCAAAACAAGGUAUCCCCGAGGGCCGUGGUAGACCACCACGUCGAUAGGCCGGAGAUGUAAGCGCAGCAAUGCGCUCAGUUGACCGGUACUAAUCGCCCGAUAGGCUUGAUU